AGCUCCAAUAGCGUAUAUUAAAGUUGUUGCAGUUAAAAAGCUCGUAGUUGGAUUUCUGGCGGGGACCCGCGUACCCCUGGUGGGUGUGCUCGGGCCCGGCCAUCCUUCUGUCAACUUUCGCGCGUCCUUCACCGGUCGGCAAAGGGAUCAGAUAAUUUACCUUGAGAAAAUUAGAGUGUUUCAGGCAGGCUUAGCCGGAAUACAUUAGCAUGGAAUAAUGGAAUAGGACUGAGGUCUCGUUGUUGGUUACGUGGACUACAGUAAUGAUUAAUAGGGACAGUUGGGGGCAUUAGUAUUUAUUAGCUAGAGGUGGAAUUCUCUAAUUUGAUAAAGACUAACUUAUGCGAAAGCAUUUGCCAAGGAUGUUUUCA
rnacentral:rRNA from 1 species